ACGGGAGCAGCAGGCGCGAAACCUCCGCAAUGCGGGAAACCGUGACGGGGCCACCUCGAGUGCUGCCUGCAGAGGGCGGCUUUUGCUUAGCUUAAGGAGCUAAGCGAAUAAGGGGAGGGCAAGUCUGGUGUCAGCCGCCGCGGUAAUACCAGCUCCCCGAGUGAUGGGGACCGUUACUGAGCUUAAAGCAUCCGUAGCCGGCUCAGUACGUCCCCGGUUAAAUCCAACGAUUAAAUCGUUGGACUGCUGGGGAUACCGCUGGGCUAGGGGGCGGAAGAGGCUGGCGGUAUUCUUGGGGUAGGGGUGAAAUCCUUUAAUCCCAAGAGGACCACCGGUGGCGAAGGCGGCCAGCCAGAACGCGCCCGACGGUGAGGGAUGAAAGCUGGGGGAGCGAAGGGGAUUAGAUACCCCCGUAGUCCCAGCUGUAAACGAUGCGGGCUAGAUGUUGGAGCGGCUCAGAGCUGCUCCAGUAUCGCAGGGAAACCAUUAAGCCUGCCGCUUGGGGAGUACGGUCGCAAGACUGAAACUUAAAGGAAUUGGCGGGG
rnacentral:rRNA from 1 species